rnacentral:rRNA from 1 species
UAGCGUAUAUUAAAGUUGUUGCAGUUAAAAAGCUCGUAGUUGAAUUUCGAGAUCAAUUUGUUGGUCGUGCCUCGGUACGUACUGGCAAUUUUGAUUUCUCCCUUCUGAAGAACCAUGAUGUCAUUAAUUUGGUGUCAUGGGGAAUCAGGACCGUUACUUGAAAAAUUAGAGUGUUUAAAGCAGGCUCGCGCUUGAAUACAUUAGCAUGGAAUAAUGAAAUAGGACGUUUGAUUCUAUUUUGUUGGUUUACUAGGAUCGACGUAAUGAUUAAUAGGGAUAGUUGGGGGCAUUAGCAUUCAAUUGUCAGAGGUGAAAUUCUUGGAUUUAUUGAAGACUAACUACUGCGAAAGCAUUUGCCAAGGAUGUUUUCAUUAAUCAAGAACGAAAGUUAGGGGGAUCGAAGACGAUCAGAUACCGUCGUAGUCUUAACCAUAAACUAUGCCGACUAGGGAUCGGAUGAUGUUAAUUUUUUAAUGACUCAUUCGGCGCCUUACG